rnacentral:rRNA from 1 species
GUGGGGAAUCUUGCGCAAUGGGCGAAAGCCUGACGCAGCCAUGCCGCGUGAAUGAUGAAGGUCUUAGGAUUGUAAAAUUCUUUCACCGGGGACGAUAAUGACGGUACCCUGAGAAGAAGCCCCGGCUAACUUCGUGCCAGCAGCCGCGGUAAUACGAAGGGGGCUAGCGUUGCUCGGAAUUACUGGGCGUAAAGGGCGCGUAGGCGGACAGUUUAGUCAGAGGUGAAAGCCCAGGGCUCAACCUUGGAAUUGCCUUUGAUACUGGCUGUCUUGAGUACAGGAGAGGUGAGUGGAACUCCGAGUGUAGAGGUGAAAUUCGUAGAUAUUCGGAAGAACACCAGUGGCGAAGGCGACUCACUGGCCCGUUACUGACGCUGAGGCGCGAAAGCGUGGGGAGCAAACAGGAUUAGAAACCCUAGUAGUCC